CUGGAAACCAGUUUGCUUUGACAGGGAGGGUGUCCGGAUCUAGAAAGAAAUCCACCCUCAGAAGGCAAAGACACCUGCAGGGAUUGGCCUGAGUGAUGUCAGCACCCACAUACACUAAUGCAGCAACGGCUCCCUGAUUAGAUGCCUCUUCCUCUGGGAAGCCUUCCCAGACCCACACCCCAGGCACCACACACGGAACCAGGAUACAGCUGUGAACACGACGGGGCCGGCUCGGGUGCACAGGGGAGACACACGAAGCUGACCCGAGGCCCAGCACAGCCAUGGAGCCCUGGGCCCUUCCCGCAGGUGAGCACAGAAGACCCAGCAUCCGGGCUAGCACAGAAGUCUGAGGCCGGCACACUGGAAGGGGUCCCCUGCAAGGCCGGGUCACCACAGGGCCACCGCGGCUCCACGCCUCAAGGAAGGGCAUGGCCAGGGUGCAAGCCAGCGCCUGCUGAGACAUGCGUGUCAACACCCGGAGGUGGUCCGUCACCCUGGGGCCGUGCUGAGCCCAACGCCAGCGCCCAGGGCCACCGCCCAUGUGUGCCCGCGUCUGGCACACGCGUAUGCGAGAAUGCUCGGGUCCAGGGACUUGGGCGGGCACAAGAUGCACGUGUAUACGUGGGCUGUGAACCAAGCUGGGGGCAAGGCCGUUUCGACAGUGAGCGGCAUACAGGUUCGCUGGUCAGCACUGCCGGUAGUUAAGGAGGGAAGGGAGGGAGGUGGCGGUGAGGCUGAGGGGCAGCGAGCAGGUGGGAGGCUGGGCGGCAGUCGUGGGGGCCUGCCAGCCGGGUGUGCAGCUGUGGGUCUGAGCAGCUGUCUGUGCCCCGAGCUGGGGGGGUGGGGGGUGGUCGUGCAGUGGGACGCGGCUGUAGUUAAGAGCAUAGACUCCGGAGGGGACCUGGGUGGCUCAGCGGGUUAAGCAUCCAACUCUUUGAUUUUGGC